UCAGCCCAUUGCCACUGCGUCGGGGGAAAGGUCUAGCUGGGAUGUGCUGCAUGUGGUGGGCCUGGGAGGCAGCGGUUUUAUUUCGGUGCUUUUGUCAGACCUAGUGGGAUGCAUAUGCAGCUCAAGAGACAACUCAAAAUUCUCCACCGGACUGAGAAUGUCUCUGCUCGGACAGUUUUGUCUCCAGCAGUCUGAAGGCUGGUCGGUUCCUGGCGUUCUGGCCAUCAGAACUGAGUGAACACUCCAAAAUGAUGUACACAGAUAUUGAAAUAAAAUCCACAAGUCUGCCUGGAAGAAAAGAGGAAACCAAGUUCUCUGUUCUCAAGACUGUCGUCAUGAAGUUAUCCAUAGGACGAUGAUAUCAAAGAAACAAGGGGCUCUAACAGGAGAAGAGCACAGACUUUGGAGCAAUCAAGAAUCUUUUUGGUGGCGGGGACUGGAGAUUGCCUCUGAGGAGUCAAGGCAGCACGCCGUGGAGCUACUCACUUGAGAAACAGAAUUGGCAGCACUUCCUCGUAGACCCUGCUGCGCUUGAAGAUCCCAUAUACCCUGAUAGACCUUUAAAGUUCAUCAAAAACUCAUCAAAUCAAUCAGAGCUUAUGAAACAGAGCUAUUUUGCUGUGGUUACUUUCUACUCCAUAGUUAUUUGAAUGCAUAUUAUGUUUAAAUUGUGCUUCACUCCUACCCAACAAUCUUCCAACCCAACAAUCUUCCUUACUCCAACUUGUAAGCAAAUGCAAACAUUUUCAUACCCAUGCGUAAUCUUAUAUCCUCUCAAAUACAAAUAUACUGCAGACACAGACACAUAUGCAGACAUGCACACAUAUAUACACAUUUUGCCAUAUUAGCUUUUCAGUCUUUGAUAUGUUCUCAUGAAAAAUAUCUAAGAUUUAUAUGGAUCCUAGUAACCUAUCCCACAUAUCCACAGCACUGGGAAAGAAAAGUCUGUGUAAAGUGCUUAGUUAUAUACCCUGUGUCUGUUGUCAGCAAAAUUAACUGAGGUAAGAACUUUAGGAGACCCAAAGGAUUUGUUUCUAUAGGUUUCUCAAUCCAGAGCAGAAGUGAUUUGGGUGAAAUACUCCAAGAAUUCAGCAUAGGCAAAUGACGCAAGAGAAAGUUCUACAGAUAUCAAGGCAGAAGGUGAAUACAUGAUAAUUAAUUCUUUUUCAUUGAAUAUAUGCUGCUAAUUGACUUGGCUGCAGUAUCAUUACCAUGAUUCAUAAGCUCAUACAUUUUAGGCCAGAAGCAACCAUUAUGAUAAUCUAGUCUCAAUGUCUGCAUAACAAAGAAUCUCACCCAGGUGUUGCUGUAUCAGCCCUCUAAUUUCUGCCUGAAUUACAGUGUUUCUUUCAAAAAUCUAUCCUGUGCUUAUUUAUAUGAUAGAAAAUCUACCAGGUACUAGAGUAAGUAGUAUCAAGUACUAGGAUAAGUAGUUCCAAAGGUAAUUUUUUUUCUUUGAAAUUUGCAGCUUAUUUUCGAUAUCAUAUUUAUAUCGCUAUUUCCAUCUGAUACUUUUUUCUCUGAAUGUACCUUAUAAACGUUUAGAAAACUGUCACACAAAACAUUUUUUUUGCUGCAGUUAAAAGUCUGUGUAGAGUUUAUAACAAUCUUCCUACUGUAUUAAUAAGAUCUUUAAGGGAUCACUCAAGCUUUAUCACCUUUCUUCCCUUCUCUCUAUGCUAUCUCUCAGCUUUUCUCUCCUUCCAUCCUCCCCCAAAAAAGGAGUGAAAAGAAAAGGGGAGGGAUAGAGAAAAUUCACACUGUAGAAUUUUAAAAUCUGCAGAAUAUUUCUGGAUGCAUGUAACGGUAGGCAGAUAUCAGCAUUCCUGCAGUCCUGGCCAAAAUGGUUUUUUUUCCUCUUUGCUCUCCCUCAACACAUCUCUCUCCUUCUCUUGUUUCCUAAUAGUCCCCGGAGCCUCAUUUAUCUCAUUUCGCAAGCUCAUACCAAUGAGUGCUGUGGCACAAGCAACAAGAGAGGAAGUCACACUGCUUCUUGGGAAGGGUAGAAUUUGCCUUUUUCUCAGGCAAUAUUUCAACAAGUGAGUACUGCUACAGCAGCUAUACCUCCUCCCCACUGCAUAGCCAAGCUCAGAUAUUCUGGGGAGACAAACUCCUGCCAUUCUGUGCUCCUCUGAGUAUCCUUUUAUGCCAGAAUGGUUUCAUUGAUUUAAAUAGGAAAAAAACAUCCAAAACCAAGCCAGAAUCUGAUAUGCCUAUUGACAUUGACCAAACCCUUGUGCUGUGAAGGCAAUGUUGAAACAUCUGUUGAUUGCAACAGAGACCUGAGUAAACAUGUUGUUGAAGUAAGUGAUGUUGUCUGUGAAAUACUUUAUGAAUUAUUUAUGAAAUACUGACAACACUUUGGAGCACUCGAGAAUCUUUUUGGCGGCUGGGGUAGGAGACUGCCUCUGAGGAGUCAAGGCUGUGGAGAUACUCACUCGAGAAACAGGACCGGCAGCACUGCCUCGUAGAGCCUGCUGCUCUUGAAGAUCCCAUAUACCCUGAUAGACCUUUAAAAUUCAUCAAAAACUCCUAGCUGAAACCUUUAAAAUCAGUCAGAGGGAGACUGAGCUUAUGAAAGGGAGCAGUUUAGCUCCAAAGUAUACUUAUGAUACAGGUAUCCAUAAAAGCCAUUAGUGAUAAAGAUGUUAUUUCCACAUUAUCUCAUUUGUCUUAUAUCAUUUAUCUACCUAAACUGUGAAUAAAGAAUUAACUUCCAUGCAUUUUAGGAUGUAGGGAGAAAACCUGGUGAGUUCCCAAAAGUGCAGGUGGUCAUGUUUGUAUUUAUGUGUAAGUCAACAACAAGCUGAUGUGAUUAAAUAGUUACUCUAUCAGUAACUUGGCCCUGUGCUUUUCUCCAUCUGGUAGGCAGGCAGGCAGAUUAAACUUAUGCCAUGUGUGUAUUUUUCUUGUAACAAAAUGAGUUUUGUUUAUAUUUCUAGUCACUAUCAAGUAGUAACAGCCUUACCAAAUAUAUUGAUUCACAUUAAAAAAAAAAAACGAGGAUUUAGCGGAAACACAACAACUUCAUCUAAUGCGUAAUAUUUUAUUUAAAGAAAAUGGCAGUAAAACAAACAAAAAAAAACCAGUUAUAGACCUUGAAGAAAAUCACAUUUAUAGUUGAACCUGUGAAUUUUGGAGCUACCAGUUGUUUCCUGGAAGUCACUUUGAAAUGAGUUUUGGGAAAUCAGGUUUAUAUUGACUUGGUCUGUAAUGGUUGGCUGUUGCUUUUUUGUUUAAGCCUGAUUAAAUUACCCUGAAAAAGCUCCAAGUCCAUGUCCUCAUUUGAGGCCAAUUGUGAAUAUGAUCGUAAUAAUACACUCUCUAAAAAAUAUUUCAGAAGGUUAAAUACUCUCUAAACCUGGAAUCUUGUCGUUGUGCUCUUACAGGAUUAAUCAAUUGAAUUUGAUUCCUUGUCUCAACAUGCAUCACUUCUAUUUUUUUAUACCACACACUUCUGGUUGUAAAGGGCUGAGGUUGUUUGCUAGACUUCUUCUAUAUAGUACAAUAGGAGGUAAUUUUGACUGUGUCUUAAAGAAAGAAAUAAUCAACAUGUAUUGGCAGUAAUAAAAAUUGGUGGCUAUAUUACUGAUUUCAGCCUUUAUCUGCCUCUGAAAUGAGGGACUUCUCUAGUUAUUUCUUCAUACUUCAGUAAACUCAACUGAAAUCAGGGCCACAAUAUAUCUAUACAAGCACAUAGGAAUGAAUGUUCUUAAUCUAAAAAAGCUUUGAAAAUAAAUGCUAAAUAUGCAAAGACUCAAUAAAUAGAGAGGUGAACGGACUUACCUGCAGCUGCACAGUGAUGUGCAAUCCACAGUCACUAUGAAUUUAAGAGAAAGACCAGCAGCCUGCUGGAUACAUCCUUUCAAAGGGGAUUUGGUAGCACUUUCCAAACUUCCCCAGUUCUUAUCUGAGAGGGAGCAGGUAAGCUGGGGAGCAGUGCUCCCCUCAUAAG